rnacentral:rRNA from 1 species
UACGAAGGGGGCUAGCGUUGCUCGGAAUCACUGGGCGUAAAGCGCACGUAGGCGGCUUUUUAAGUCAGGGGUGAAAUCCUGGAGCUCAACUCCAGAACUGCCUUUGAUACUGAGAAGCUUGAGUCCGGGAGAGGAGCGUGGAAUUCCCAGUGUAGAGGUGAAAUUCGUAGAUAUUGGGAAGAACACCGGUGGCGAAGGCGGCGCUCUGGACCGAGACUGACGCUGAGGCGCGAAAGCGUGGGGAGCAAACAGG